CAUCAAGAAACAAGUUGGGGGUGGAGGGUGGGAAUCCAGGAUUUUUCUGUUCCUGUGAUUGGGCAGCAGUGUGUUUACCUUCAACCCCCAGAAAAAGCAGAAGCACAGGAGUUCAUGCCCAAACUCUGGUUUAUUUUGUGUGGAUUUUUUUUAAAAAAGUGUUUAAUUAUGUCAAAUAUUGAAAUCCAGUGCACCAUUAUUAUCCCCAUCUUUCAGCAUCAUUGCUGAAAUCGGCUUCAGAGCUCGGUCUCCCAAAACUGCAUUUCACCUCAUGCGUAGUUUUGGUCCUCACCGGUUGUUAAACAGAGCUCAAAGUCCUGUGUAGAAGUUACCAACCUAAUUCCAAGAUGUGAUCGCUUUCUGCGGGGCUGAUUUGGAUUUCCAGAACUCCGCAGGAUACACGUCAGCAAAUGUCAGUAUCGUUAACUUAUCUCCUCAGAUCCCAACUCAGCCUAACACCAGGGCUUAAUUGCAUGUAAUAAUCUUCUGCAUGCUUCAUUGACUUUUGCCCCUAAUAGAGCAUCAAAUGAAAAUUCGAAGUCAACCUCAAAGUUAGAUCGUAUGCGUCCAUCUAGUCUAGUAUUGUAUAAGUCUAUGGAGGGCCGAGAUCACGUGUGGAUCGAAUCCUGCCUGCUGUUGCUUUGGGUUACCAAAAGGGAGGCACAGAGAAUUCUUCCGUUCCAAGUCGAAUUCAGCUGGAGAGCGAGCGAACCGCACAGAAACUCAAAACAGAUCCCGAGUCCCACAAAUGAAUCCCAAGUCCUAAUCCGGCAGGCAUGAACACCCAUGAAGAAGUGACUUGCUGGGAUUUAAUAACCCAUGGCGAUAUUUGGGAAAUGAAACUGUAGCUUUAAUUUGUAUAAUAACUAAAUUUAAAACAGCCGAUGAAAACGGGACAUCAGGAACCUUUUCUGGUUCAUUCCUAAGAAAAGGCGAAACAGUCUUGGGCCCAGGCAGGGUUCAUUUGAAUAUCUUGCAUGACAACACAUACAUUAGAUUUCCUCCAUUCUUAAAGCCGUUUCACACGUUGCAUGGCAAUGAAACGGAAGUUUACCACAGUGUUGUUGAACAUGGCAAUAAACGGAAGUUUACCACUGA